rnacentral:rRNA from 1 species
GCUCAGAUUGAACGCUGGCGGCAUGCCUUACACAUGCAAGUCGAACGGUAACAGGUCUUCGGACGCUGACGAGUGGCGAACGGGUGAGUAAUACAUCGGAACGUGCCCAGUCGUGGGGGAUAACUACUCGAAAGAGUAGCUAAUACCGCAUACGAUCUGAGGAUGAAAGCGGGGGACCUUCGGGCCUCGCGCGAUUGGAGCGGCCGAUGGCAGAUUAGGUAGUUGGUGGGAUAAAAGCUUACCAAGCCGACGAUCUGUAGCUGGUCUGAGAGGACGACCAGCCACACUGGGACUGAGACACGGCCCAGACUCCUACGGGAGGCAGCAGUGGGGAAUUUUGGACAAUGGGCGAAAGCCUGAUCCAGCAAUGCCGCGUGCAGGAUGAAGGCCUUCGGGUUGUAAACUGCUUUUGUACGGAACGAAAAAGCUCCUUCUAAUACAGGGGGCCCAUGACGGUACCGUAAGAAUAAGCACCGGCUAACUACGUGCCAGCAGCCGCGGUAAUACGUAGGGUGCGAGCGUUAAUCGGAAUUACUGGGCGUAAAGCGUGCGCAGGCGGUUAUGUAAGACAGAUGUGAAAUCCCCGGGCUCAACCUGGGAACUGCAUUUGUGACUGCAUGGCUAGAGUACGGUAGAGGGGGAUGGAAUUCCGCGUGUAGCAGUGAAAUGCGUAGAUAUGCGGAGGAACACCGAUGGCGAAGGCAAUCCCCUGGACCUGUACUGAC